GACCCCAGUACUGGUCCAAGCCCUGAAGACUGCACCCAGGGAAGUGGAGGUAUGGACAGAGGCAGCCGGUGCCUGAGGAAGCUCCAUGGGGCAGGCAAGGCCCCCACGUCCAGUCUCAGCCCCUCUUUUGGCCACAUGGGAAUCUGGGGGAUUCACCCGCCUGGGCCGCCGGCUUGCAGGGAUCCCGCCGAAGCCUGUCGCCCCCAGAGCACCGGUUCUCAUCUCGGGAACCCCAGGAGGCCGGAGAAGGAAAUUUUGUGCCUUGAAUAAUGAAUCCCCCUGGAGCCCACGGUACCUGUACUUCUCUUUAGUGUCCACUGAGAAUAACGUGUUCGACAUUCAAGUGACAACACUGGAAAGCAUUUCAAAGCCCUGGAGCCCCAGAACGCUGUACACCCCGACGGCUUUUCUGCCUGCCCUCUCUUUGGCUUCCAAAUGCAGCAGGCUCUUUCUUAAAAUGUGUUCAUCUUUCACACGCAUCCUGGAUGUACCACAGAAAGACAGUACAGAUAGGUAGGCUCUUAUUUCUGAAGCUGAGCUGGCCCCGCCCAGCACAAAGCUUUAAAGCUGCUAAGGCUCCAGGACUUUUCUGGAGUCAGUAUCAUUCAACUGGCUCAGGCUGGAUUUUCAUAAGAAAAGAUAAUAAACAUGUACUAAUGUAAUAAAAUAGACACCGUUUAAGUCACAAGCAGUAUCCAAACCUUUGGGACAUUCUAUGGUGCUGAACAGCUAUUUCACAGGGGCUUUAUGUUAAGGAGCAAGUGCAGAAAAAAAUCUGAAAAUCUCAGUAAGAUGAGAAAAUGAAAGCUUUACAAAAUGGUAGAAGAAAGUAGUCUCUCAUGCCUAAACUUCCAAAUAAGUUGAGCAUUCUUUCUGGUGUGAAAUAGAUUCAGAAAGCUUUUUAAAACAAGUCACUUUUGGCCAAAUAUAUUAAGGUAUAACCAAAUGAUACCAUAAAUCCAUUUAGAAAACAGAAAGUUCUUUACUGACAUGAAAGGAUUUCUAAGACAUAUUCAUAAGUAAAAAAGCAAAUAUACUACUAUUUGUAUGGGAUGAAAAAAUAAAAGAAACAUGUAUAU
rnacentral:lncRNA from 1 species